rnacentral:lncRNA from 1 species
AUCCAUGAUCCAAGAGAUUUAUAAGAGAUUAUUUUUAUGUUCUAAUUAAUUUUAGCUUAGAUCUAAUUUAAUUAAGUCUUAAUUAGGUUUAAUAUCCAAGUUGGACUUAGAGUUGAAUCCUAGUUGGAUUAGGAAUAGCAACCAUUUUGAAUUGAAAUUGUACUGACCCAAAUAUAUGCCAAAUUUGAUUUGCAUUUUAUGAGGCCUUAAUUAUCUGAUUUUAUCUCUCAUUAUGGGUGGAC